UCCGGUUUGUCACCGGCAGUCUCAUUAGAGUGCCCAACUGAAUGUAGCAACUAAUGACAAGGGUUGCGCUCGUUGCGGGACUUAACCCAACAUCUCACGACACGAGCUGACGACAGCCAUGCAGCACCUGUGUUCAGGUUCCCUUUCGGGCACACUCACCUCUCGGCGGGCUUCGGUACAUGUCAAGGGUAGGUAAGGUUUUUCGCGUUGCAUCGAAUUAAUCCACAUAAUCCACCGCUUGUGCGGGUCCCCGUCAAUUCCUUUGAGUUUUAAUCUUGCGACCGUACUCCCCAGGCGGUCAACUUCACGCGUUUACUGCAGCACUAAAGGGCGGAAACCCUCUAACACUUAGCA
rnacentral:misc_RNA from 1 species